rnacentral:rRNA from 1 species
AUGGUCACCACUGCCAUGGGAUGGCCUCUGCUAGUUACAGCUUCGCCAUGGAUGGCUGCAACAUCCCGUGGCGCCGCCGAGGCUCGGAUGCAGACAGCCGCAGUUCUGCGCACCAUUAGAUUGCAGCUCCUGCAUCGUCGGCGUACAGUGGAAGCAAAAAAUCACAUUGGUUCCAGCAUUUCCAUGUGCCGGUUGCAGCUCUGCAUCGUAGAAGUGUUGUUGAAAGCACGCGAGGACUGCUGGUUCCAGCACCAUAGGUUGCCGGUUCCAGCAUUUCUGCAUGGAAUUCCAGCAAUCGCGAUGGCCGGAUGCAACAUCGUCAGUGAGCUGGAAGGCCAUGGCUAA